rnacentral:rRNA from 1 species
UACAGAGGGUGCGAGCGUUGUCCGGAAUCACUGGGCGUAGAGGGCGCGUAGGUGGUGGCUUAAGCGUGCGGUGAAAGCUUGGGGCUCAACUCCGAGUCGGCCGUGCGAACUGGGCUCACUGGAGCAUAGUAGAGGCAGGUGGAAUUCCGGGUGUAGCGGUGGAAUGCGUAGAGAUCCGGAAGAACACCGGUGGCGAAGGCGGCCUGCUGGGCUAUGGCUGACACUGAGGCGCGACAGCGUGGGGAGCAAACAGG